UCCUGAGUCAGGCAGAGGAGAGGAAGCAGGCAGAGCAGCAGAGGCAGGAUCAGUUUGCAGAAAUGGGCCCAGAUUCCUCUGAGACCGAAAGGAUUCCGUUGGACACCAGAGAGAGGCUGUUGGGUGACCAGAUGAUGCCAGCAAGACUUCCUCAUCCAUCUAUUCUUGGUGGUGAAGGAGAAGCAACGGCUGUGGAAGCAGCUCAGGGUCCAGUGUGCUUUGAAGAUGUCGCUGUUCAUUUCACAGACGAG